CAGUGGUCCAUGCAAUUGCAGCACCUACACUUGCUAUGCCUGGAUGUUUGGAUUUCUUUGAAGUAGAGUGGGAAUUUACACAGAUCUCAAGGGCAUCCAUAUUUGGGAGUUAAAGGUAUUUGCUGUUUCCUCUUAUUUUGGUGACAUGGCAAGGUAUGAAGUCCACGUGGAUGGAAAGGAGAAUAUGAGUGAUGUGAGACCCUCCUAUGUGAAACAACGCUGAUUUUCUAGAUGUUGGGGAAUUAAUGGCUUGAAGUUACUUGUAAAGCUGGAAUAAACAGAAGUGGCACAGUUGUUGAGAUGAUAUAAAUAAGAUGUUAGACAUAUGCUUAAAGUUAUUUAAAUGUUAUUUUCUACAAUGUAAGUGUUGGGCAUCUUAACUGAGCUGGUUCUAAUUUCUUUGAUUUUUAUGUCCAUGAAAAAUGCUAAUCUCUCGUCACAGCUACACGAUUCUAAAACUGCCCUUCCAAAGAACCGUGACAUUCUCAGAUCUACAUUGUAGCUUUUGUGUUCCCAGUGACUUGGUUGUUAUUUCUCACUUUCCACAGGAAUACGCAGUAUAAAUGUUGAGUCCUUGCUAUUUGCAGCUUGUUUUUCCUAGCUGGUACCAUUGAAUAACACUCCAACGCUCCUACUGAGGCAACAAAUUACCCUGAAAGGUUAUAUGUCAACCAUCUGUGUCCCAGAGUGACACGGCCUGAACCACUCAGGCCCUUUUCAUUUCCCGAUGCCUAAACAUGCAUCACAGAGGAGCUUGAGGUAUGGUCUGAGAUUUCCCCAGAGAAUUUCACUCUAGAAACCAGCUCAGGUACUUACAGAAUAACUGUGUGGUAUCUUAGAGCCACUAGAUCUACAGUUCAGUUUAAGGUGGAGGCUACCCAGGCCAUACUUGCAUGUAAACUUGGAGCAAGUUCCUUAUCUGGGCCUCUUCAGUUUCUGAUCUAUAAAAUUUUGAUAAUAACU